UGGGGUGAAGUCGUAACAAGGUAACCGUAGGGGAACCUGCGGUUGGAUCACCUCCUUACCUUAAAGAAGCG
rnacentral:rRNA from 2 species